GACGAACGCUGGCGGCGCGCCUAACACAUGCAAGUCGAACGAGCGAGAGAGAGUUUGCUUUCUUCGAGCGAGGUGGCGAACGGGUGAGUAACGCGUGAGGAACCUGCCUCAAAGAGGGGGACAACAGUUGGAAACGACUGCUAAUACCGCAUAAGCACACGUGAUCGCAUGAUCGAGUGUGAAAAACUCCGGUGGUAUGAGAUGGACCCGCGUCUGAUUAGCUAGUUGGUGGGGUAAUGGCCCACCAAGGCGACGAUCAGUAGCCGGCCUGAGAGGGUGAACGGCCACAUUGGGACUGAGACACGGCCCAA
rnacentral:rRNA from 1 species